GGGGAAUAUUGGACAAUGGGCGAAAGCCUGAUCCAGCCAUGCCGCGUGUGUGAAGAAGGCCUUCGGGUUGUAAAGCACUUUAAGCGAGGAGGAAUGGCUCUAGGUUAAUACCCUUGAGCAGUGACGUUACUCGCAGAAUAAGCACCGGCUAACUCUGUGCCAGCAGCCGCGGUAAUACAGAGGGUGCAAGCGUUAAUCGGAAUUACUGGGCGUAAAGCGCGCGUAGGCGGUUACGUAAGUUGGAGGUGAAAUCCCCGAGCUCAACUUGGGAAUUGCCUUCAAAACUGCGUGGCUAGAGUGUGGGAGAGGAAGGUAGAAUUCCAGGUGUAGCGGUGAAAUGCGUAGAUAUCUGGAGGAAUACCGAUGGCGAAGGCAGCCUUCUGGCCUAACACUGACGCUGGGGUGCGAAAGCAUGGGGAGCAAAC
rnacentral:rRNA from 1 species